UACGUAGGGUGCAAGCGUUGUCCGGAAUUAUUGGGCGUAAAGAGCUCGUAGGCGGUUUGUCGCGUCUGCUGUGAAAACGCGAGGCUCAACCUCGCGCCUGCAGUGGGUACGGGCAGACUAGAGUGCGGUAGGGGAGAUUGGAAUUCCUGGUGUAGCGGUGGAAUGCGCAGAUAUCAGGAGGAACACCGAUGGCGAAGGCAGAUCUCUGGGCCGUAACUGACGCUGAGAAGCGAAAGCAUGGGGGAGCGAACAGG
rnacentral:rRNA from 1 species